CGGCGCACGGGUGCGUAACGCGUAUGCAAUCUACCUUUUACAAAGGAAUAGCCCAGAGAAAUUUGGAUUAAUGCCUUAUAGUUUAUGCUUGUGGCAUCACAUACAUAAUAAAGAUUUAUCGGUAAAAGAUGAGCAUGCGUCCCAUUAGCUAGUUGGUAUGGUAACGGCAUACCAAGGCAAUGAUGGGUAGGGGUCCUGAGAGGGAGAUCCCCCACACUGGUACUGAGACACGGACCAGACUCCUACGGGAGGCAGCAGUGAGGAAUAUUGGUCAAUGGAGGCAACUCUGAACCAGCCAUGCCGCGUGCAGGAAGACGGUCCUAUGGAUUGUAAACUGCUUUUAUACAGGAAUAAACCUAUCCUCGUGAGGAUAGCUGAAGGUACUGUAGGAAUAAGGAUCGGCUAACUCCGUGCCAGCAGCCGCGGUAAUACGGAGGAUCCAAGCGUUAUCCGGAAUCAUUGGGUUUAAAGGGUUCGUAGGCGGUUUAAUAAGUCAGUGGUGAAAUCUCCUAGCUUAACUAGGAAAUGGCCAUUGAUACUGUUAGACUUGAAUUAUUGGGAAGUAACUAGAAUAUGUAGUGUAGCGGUGAAAUGCUUAGAUAUUACAUGGAAUACCAAUUGCGAAGGCAGGUUACUAUCAAUACAUUGACGCUGAUGAACGAAAGCGUGGGUAGCGAACAGGAUUAGAUACCCUGGUAGUCCACGCCGUAAACGAUGGAUACUAGCUGUUCGACCGCAAGGUUGAGUGGCUAAGCGAAAGUGAUAAGUAUCCCACCUGGGGAGUACGUUCGCAAGAAUGAAACUCAAAGGAAUUGACGGGGGCCCGCACAAGCGGUGGAGCAUGUGGUUUAAUUCGAUGAUACGCGAGGAACCUUACCAGGGCUUAAAUGUAGAUUGACCGUUUUGGAAACAUUACUUUCGCAAGACAAUUUACAAGGUGCUGCAUGGUUGUCGUCAGCUCGUGCCGUGAGGUGUCAGGUUAAGUCCUAUAACGAGCGCAACCCCUAUCGUUAGUUGCCAGCGGGUCAUGCCGGGAA
rnacentral:rRNA from 1 species